GAGAAAAUGGAUGGACGGUUGAAGAAAAGAGGGGAAAAGACCAUGCAGUUGAACUAACUUCUUUUUAAUUUCAAACAGGUAUUUUUUGCAUCCGUGCGAUCUGGAGGAAGUAGCCAAGUGUUUUUCAUGACCCUCAACAGAAAUUCCAUGAUGAACUGGUAACAGAAGAGCACUUGGCACUUAUCUUCAUGGCGUUAUUUCUAAUUUAAAAGAACAUAACUCAUGUGGACUUAUGCCAGUCUAGAGGCAGAAUCAGAAGGCUUGGUUGAACAUAUCGCUUUCCCCUUUUCCUCUCCCUCCACCCCUCCCAAUACAGUCCAUCUUUCAAUGUUGCAGCCUGGUUGAGAAGGAGAGAAAAAGGUGGCAGAAAUUUCCAGGAGAUCCCCAAGAAUGCUGCCUUGUCUGUGGACAAAGAUGGACCACGUGCCCUUCGGAGUUAGGGAUAGAAACAAAUAUUGUGUGCUCUUAACGAUUAAGCUGUGUUAUGGUGG
rnacentral:sRNA from 1 species